CCGCUCAGAGGUAAACGGGUGGAGUUGAACUGCGAACCCUGAGAAUUCAACUGGUGAGUGUGGUAUGAGCUUGGCAUGAUGGUUGGCUCUGCGGGUCUGCUUAGCUGCAGGUCUUCGCCUUCUGGUGGAGAUGCGCGAUACACUUGCCAAGUGUUGCGCGCUCGUUGAGUUACUCGGACAUGCUUGCCAGUGCACUUUCUCGGGGUGUUCACCACGACCGGCGCCGCUACUUGUCCAGUAUGGUUAAACCGGUCUUGCUUGGUCCUUGUGGCUUUGCUUGAUCGGGACGGCAGGUAACUCGUUGACUUGUGUGUUGGCCUCGGUUGACAUGCGCUUGGUUUUCGAGUGUAAUCAGCUGACUGUAUUGGUGCUAUGUGGUGCGUCGGAGACGGCGGCUUGUGGUGUGUGCCUGCGUGCCUAUUUGCUGACGGAACCGGGUUUGGUUAUUAUGUUGCCUGUUCUGCAGGCCUGGUGAUGGCUCGGUUUCGCUUGGUGGAUGGGAGCGUGUGUGACACUUAUCAGGGCCUAUAGUCUGUGGUGUUGUGGUAGACUAUCCACCUGACCCGUCUUGAAACACGGACCAAGGAGAGUAACAUGUGCGCGAGUCAUGGGGUGUUACGAAACCCAAAGGCGAAGUGAAAGUAAAGACUUGACUUGUUCGAGUUGAGGUGAGAUCCUGUCGUUUCUCAUGCGCGGUACUUCCAAGCAUUCGAGCGAUGGGCGCAUCACCGGCCCGUCCCAUGGUGUGGUCACUGUCUUCGGAUUGGUGCGUCACCGGGGCGGAGCAUGAGCGCACAUGUUGAGACCCGAAAGAUGGUGAACUAUGCUUGCGCAGGUUGAAGCCAGAGGAAACUCUGGUGGAGGACCGUAGCGAUUCUGACGUGCAAAUCGAUCGUCAAACGUGAGUAUAGGGGCGAAAGACUAAUCG
rnacentral:rRNA from 1 species